CACCAAAACAUCAGAUCUUCCUGGGUCUUGAGACAGCUAGUUUUCAGACUGCAACUACACCAUCAUCUCUCCUGGUUCUCAGACCUUCAGACUUAGACUGAAACUUACAUCAUCAGCUCUCCUGGUCUCCAGCUUGCUGACAGCAGACUUUAGGACUUAUUAGACUCCACAGUGAAAGAUCACUCUGACUGCUACAUGGAAAAUGUGUGCUGGGGAGAAACAAGACCACAGGAAAUAAGAGCAGUGAACAAGCUCUUGCUGUAAUUCAAGUCAGGUGUAGAAGCUGGAGCUGGAGCAGCCAUUCUGAACUAUGUCGGUAAGGGCGGUACUCCCAUGGUGGCUUGGAAGUGAGCUGGAAGGCACCAAGGUGCAUGAUGAUAUCAUGGGGUUCCCAUAGAUACCCAGGAUCACGAACAUCAGAUUUCAUUUUCAUGAUACAGAAAUGAAUUCCUGCUUGGUUCAAGAUACAUAUCAUAAAAGGAAAAAAAAAAAAAAAAGUCCUGACGAAGAUGCCAUUUAUUUUCUAGAAAAUCUACCUGGAAAUAAAAAGUUGACUCACCGAUUCACACCAUUUCCAUUUUAAGUAAGACGAUGUCACUGUAUUUAUUAAUAAGCAUUUUUUUACUUGCUUUAUUUCAGAAAAAUAGGGUUUGUUCAUUUUUUUCUCAUAUGCUGACAGAAGAUUAUAUUUACUGUAACUAUAUAUAUCUGAAACCAAAUAGGAAUAUAUUUCUCUCCCAUAUGUAUUAGGUAGCCAAACCUAUGUGUAACAUCCUCCCAAACAGCAAACCAGAGAAUCAGCAAUUGUCUCAAGACCUUUUUUGAGUCAAGUAAAUUUUGGCUAAGGGAUUGUCCUUGCGCUCGUUAAAAGGACAUGCCCAAGAUAAACAUUACUCUCAGAUUUUUGUUAUACAAGUGAAGAACGAGGAGCAGGAAAUUACUUCUCCAAUUAGAAAAUUCACAGGCAGUGGAAAAAGGUUGCAUUAUUCUGUCUCCCAAUAUACUCAGAGAAGCAAGUUAUUUGUGAGGUGAUAAACUUACAUGUUAAUGCGCUGAGGGAAAGGGGAGUAGUGAUGUGCCCCAAGGGCAGUAAAUCCCAGUAUACACAUGAGAAAAGAAAGCAAAAUGCUCUUCACAAAUCUCUCCCCAUCAGCUGAAGAUAGACCCCUCUUAGCCCAAGGCUAGAAAUUGAUCACCUAGCUCCAAUAAUUCAAUUAUGUGCUCUAUAUACCUUAUCCUACCUGUGCCUUUAUCAGCUAAUCUAAAUUGGAUGAAUUUGUAAAUUUGCCAUAUAAGUACUUUGGCUUGGUUUUUUCAUCUCAGGUACUACUCUGUUCAGAUGUAAUCUCUAUUUCUUUAUAGGAAAAUUAUAUAUAAGGAAAAGUCUUAAUAUUUAUUUCAAACUGAACACAUAAUUAAGCGUUCAUUUUAAUUAAGUUAAUUUGAACUUUCAAAAAAACUAUGAAUUUAUUUUAAAACAAAACUUCUGCCUUUAUAGAAUGACAGAAAAAACAAAAGCAUAGUGGCUUUCCCAAAUCACAGCUUAUUUUAAUACACCAAAUUUGAUAAUAAAACAUGGCAGUGUGCCUACACUUAAUACACAUGGCAAUGUAUAUUACACUUGUAAUAUAAGUGAAGAUAUAUUACAAAUGAUGUUUUCUACUUUACUAUGUAUUUUAGAGGGUGAGUACAAAAAUUGAUUUAUGAUUAACAUCAUAAGUUCCGUAUCAAUUACAAUCACAUGUGUAUGGCAUAAGAAUUAACUUUACACCGUUACUGAGAGGAAAAUAAAUUGUUGAUAAAACAGGUAAUCACUCAAAACUCAGGACCUCCAACAGGUAAUUGAUCUGCAGCUUUAUAUUCUUUGUUCUUAUGAGAAUAAUUGUCCAGAAAUGACAAACGUUGCCAACCAUUUUUUUUCUUGACAAUAUAAUUGUGGAAUAGCCAAUUAGACUUAGAGUUUCAGAUCAAUAUUUUGAUAGCUUUUUGAGAUGAAGCAUUCUUUUGAUGGUGGUCAAAAUUAAGGGCUACAUUAAGGAGAAGAUUUUUCAAUAAGUGAUUUAGUGCCUCGUCUAGCGCACACUGUAAUUAAUAAUAUGUCUAUAACACUGCCAGAGAAUUAAGUGGAAUUUACUAACAAAUGCUGCUACGCUUUCACUUCUACUUUGAUAAUUUACUUUACAUUAAUAUAAAUGAGGUAAAAUUAACACCAGCUCACAGUAUAGCAGCCCAUUUAAUUUGGUCGAAUAUUUCUCAACUGCUUUCAAGUGAUACAUUUGGUUUCAAGGGUAAUAAAAUCAGACCAUUUAUCAUUUUUCAUUCAAAAUACAUAAUUUUGUAUAUACAUUUGCAUUUAAAAUUAGUUUUUACUAUUCUUUCAGAUACAAGACAAAAACAUCUUAAGAUAUUUUAAAAUUUAAUUAUUAGUCAAAACUUUUGUCUUGUAC